GGAGCUACCAUUUGAUUUUUAUGGGGGGCUAGGAUGAAAAAUUUUGUCCUGCAUUUUUUUUUAGUUGUAAUCUCUGUCCUGCCUUUUUAUUUUUCACUCUAUUCGGUCCUGCCUUUUUUUUUAUUAGUUUAUCCUGACUUUUUUUUACCUAAAUUGUCAUCCUGCCUUUUUUUUGCAAAGUGUCUCAUCUGCCUUUUUUUUUUACUCAAA
rnacentral:lncRNA from 1 species